AUGAACGCUGGCGGCGUGCCUAAUACAUGCACGUCGAGCGAACAGACGAGGAGCUUGCUCCUCUGACGUUAGCGGCGGACGGGUGAGUAACACGUGGAUAACCUACCUAUAAGACUGGGAUAACUUUGGGAAACCGGAGCUAAUACCGGAUAAUAUAUUGAACCGCAUGGUUCAAUAGUGAAGGACGGUUUUGCUGUCACUUAUAGAUGGAUCCGCGCCGCAUUAGCUAGUUGGUAAGGUAACGGCUUACCAAGGCAACGAUGCGUAGCCGACCUGAGAGGGUGAUCGGCCACACUGGAACUGAGACACGGUCCAGACUCCUACGGGAGGCAGCAGUAGGGAAUCUUCCGCAAUGGGCGAAAGCUUGACGGAGCAACGCCGCGUGAGUGAUGAAGGUCUUCGGAUCGUAAAACUCUGUUAUUAGGGAAGAACAAAUGUGUAAGUAACUAUGCACGUCUUGACGGUACCUAAUCAGAAAGCCACGGCUAACUACGUG
rnacentral:rRNA from 1 species